UGGGGAAUAUUGCACAAUGGGGGAAACCCUGAUGCAGCGACGCCGCGUGAACGAAGAAGGUAUUCGUAUCGUAAAGUUCUGUCCUAUGGGAAGAUAAUGACAGUACCAUAGAAGAAAGCUCCGGCUAAAUACGUGCCAGCAGCCGCGGUAAUACGUAUGGAGCGAGCGUUGUCCGGAAUUAUUGGGCGUAAAGGGUACGCAGGCGGUUUAAUAAGUCGAAUGUUAAAGAUCGGGGCUCAACCCCGGAAAGCAUUGGAAACUGAUAAACUUGAGUAGUGGAGAGGAAAGUGGAAUUCCUAGUGUAGUGGUGAAAUACGUAGAUAUUAGGAGGAAUACCAGUAGCGAAGGCGACUUUCUGGACACAAACUGACGCUGAGGUACGAAAGCGUGGGGAGCAAACAGG
rnacentral:rRNA from 1 species